AUUGACGUUAGGCAAACUUUAGGCCGAUAAUUAUUAUUUUAUUUUAUUGUGCAUAUUAAAUGUUUAUUAUACUUGUACUUUAUUUUAUAUUCUUCCUCAAUUUGAAAAAAAAUGAAUUCAGUCGGUAACCACAUUUGUGGAUUUCGAAGGGUGCCUAACCCCUUCCCCUCGGAAUAACUUGAACCCCCAAUCUAGAAUCAAUUGGUUUCGUAGACUUUGCUUUAAUAAUUGGUUUCCUAGUUUUCCUAAAAUUAGGUGGCGACUCUUUUUAAAACUCGUUUAUUUUUUAAACUUUAUUAAAAUUGAAUCAAUUAAAUUAUUUUUGAGUUGCCGCGACGUUUCGUC
rnacentral:misc_RNA from 1 species